rnacentral:rRNA from 1 species
GACGAACGCUGGCGGCGUGCUUAACACAUGCAAGUCGAACGAGAAUCUACUGAAGGAGGAUUCGUCCAACGGAAGUAGAGGAAAGUGGCGGACGGGUGAGUAACGCGUGAGGAACCUGCCUUGAAGAGGGGGACAACAGUUGGAAACGACUGCUAAUACCGCAUGAAGCAUAGGGGUCGCAUGAUUCUUAUGCCAAAGAUUUAUCGCUUCAAGAUGGCCUCGCGUCUGAUUAGCUAGUUGGCGGGGUAACGGCCCACCAAGGCGACGAUCAGUAGCCGGACUGAGAGGGUCGAACGGCCACAUUGGAACUGAGACACGGCCCAGACUCCUACGGGAGGCAGCAGUGGGGGAUAUUGCACAAUGGGGGAAACCCUGAUGCAGCAACGCCGCGUGAAGGAAGAAGGUCUUCGGAUUGUAAACUUCUGUUUUUAGUGACGAAACAAAUGACGGUAGCUAAAGAGGAAGCCAACGGCUAACUACGUG